rnacentral:pre_miRNA from 1 species
UAAUGAUGAAGAUGAUGAUGAUGAUGAUGAUGAUGAUGAUGAUGACGAUGGUGAUGAUCAAUAUUAUCAUCAUAAUCAUCAUCAUGACCAUCCUCU